UAUAAUAUAUAUAUAUAUAUAGAGAGAGAGAGAGAGAGAGAGAGAGAGAGAGAGAGAGAGAGAGAGAGUCUCGCUACUAUACUCUUAUGAGUACGAUUGCCCUCGUACUCAUAAGUUGUUUUCAAUGAUAGAGCUUCCGAAUCGACGAUCCAUACCAUUAAACAUUAUUUAGAGCAUUUAAAAUUUCUAGAAAUCAAAUUUCAUAAAUUUUUGAUAUCAUUUACCUUACGAUCAAAAGCUCACAAAAUUGACAAUUUUUAACAGCCAGUGUGGAAUACUUGUUAGUUUAACGGUGUAAAAGAAUUGGAAUAUGUUGAAUUUUUGAUAGAAAAUUAUAUUCACUACCUAGAAAAAGAUCAAUAAUUUUGAUCUUAAAUUGAAGGAUCCGAUCAUCUAUUUUUAGGACGUCGUUCGAUUUUGACCGUUCAUUUUAUGCCCGUUUGAUGGACUUUAUUAUGAUUUCGAAAAAUUACGAAAUUUAUUUUUUGUGAAGUUUCGAAUACUCUAGAUCAUGUUUAACGGCGUGGAUCGUCGAUUCGAAAAGCCCAACAUCGAAAACAACUUAUGAAUACGAAGAGCUCAAUACUCAUAAGAGUAUA
rnacentral:lncRNA from 1 species